CCUACGGGUGGCAGCAGUGAGGAAUAUUGGUCAAUGGACGAAAGUCUGAACCAGCCAUGCCGCGUGCAGGAAGACGGCUCUAUGAGUUGUAAACUGCUUUUGUAGGAGGGUAAAGGAAGAUACGUGAAUAAGUCUGAAAGGAUCGUACGAAUAAGGAUCGGCUAACUCCGUGCCAGCAGCCGCGGUACUACGGAGGAUUCAAGCGUUAUCCGGAUUUAUUGGGUUUAAAGGGUGCGUAGGCGGUCGGGUAAGUUAGAGGUGAACUCCCGAGGCUCAACUUCGGAAUUGCCUCUGAUACUGUUCGGCUAGAGCGUAGUUGCGGUAGGCGGAAUGUAUGGUGUAGCGGUGACAUGCUUAGAGAUCAUACAGAACACCGAUUGCGACGGCAGCUUACCAAGCUACUUCUGACGUUGAGGCACGAAAGCGUGGGGAGCAAACAGGAUUAGAUACCCCUGUAGUC
rnacentral:rRNA from 1 species